GCUCAGUGUCCUCCUCAGUCAUGCCGAUUACAUAAUUGUUGCUGAGGAGGACUAAUGAGGGAACAUAGCUGUCUGUUAGUUUUUAGUGUGGACACAAAACGGCCAACAAAAAGCCAAGUUUAAAACCAGCCCACCGAGACUUUAAAGCGACAUCCAGAGUGAUUCCGUAGAAACAUGCACUGAACAGGCGGAAAUGGAGGCUAUGCUACAAACCUGACUGCUCAUCACUGCCUUCGUUGCCUGUUGAAGUUCAUGGUCUGACUGCUGGGCUGAGAUGGCGCUGUGCUCCACUUGCCCUAAUGACCCUUCACCUCCCCUCUUGUGUACGGUGAACAUGAAUCACAGUUUUUGACAGAGAUGGAUUUAUGACAAAGGAAGAAGAGACUUAUGAAGUGCUGAUUGGUGUAACCAGGACUCAACCUGGCAAUAAAGUCUGGCAUUUGGAGAGUACAGAGUGUGUGGAGGGUCAUGCUGUACUGUUCCACUUUGAGUGGUUGUGGAGCUGUCCUUUUGGCUCUUGCUCUGUGGUCUGUCAGAUGGAAGACUGAUGAAAGAAUGAUCAAGGGAGAUCAAACAGAUUUUUCCUGAAACCUCAAAAAUGGCUGAUGUACCAAACCUGUAACACUGCUGGACAUUUUUCUGUAGGAGUUUAGUGUGGAAGUGCUCUGUGGACAUUGCUUUCAUUUAAAACAUGAUAUAGGGGACAAAUAUUGCAAUAGGGUGUACUGUGGCAUGGGGAUACUGUUGGAGUACUGUGUUUAGCUGGUUGUAAGUCAUUGUAUAUUUUUAUAUUUUAAAUUUACAAUAAGAUGACCCAACAGUCUCAACAGCUGUUGGAUAGAUUGCUCUGAAUUAUUUUAAAGACAUGCAUGGUACCCAGGAGGAUGAAGUAUCCAGACUAUUUAGUACAGCCAGGUUCACAUUUUGGGUUUUACAUGAAGUGUCUCAACAGUCAUGAAAUGUCAUAACAUGCUGACAUACGAAACUAUUAAGGUUUUGAACACUGUAAUCAUUACCAAAUGCCAUUUAACAUAUUAGCCCAGUGACUGUAAGGAGAGCUUUACCUUCUAAGUAGUUUUUUUUAUGUUAAAUAACUUCUAUUAUCCAAACUGCUGACAGUAUCACUAUUUCAGUUAUUUAAUCUGUGAAUUUUUUCAGGAGCGAUGUAGCCAGUGUAUAAAACUUCAUAGUUAGUUUGCACAAUUUUUGAAAUCCUGCAUGACUUUUCUUUGCAAAACAACCAUUCUAUCCCUUUAUUUUGCAAAAAAUACUUCUUUCUCAUCCACCGGACUACUGAAUGUUUUCUCUUUUCGUACAAAGGAGAGGAGCUGUACGUUUACAAAGAGCUGGGUGGGGUUUUUUUAACAUUAAUCUAGAUUUAAUAUACAUUCCAAAAUGCAUUUUCCCUAUUAAUUAAAAGUAAACCAUGUAUUGUAUGGUACAUUAUCCCUCUAACGGCCCCAUGUGGAGAUUAUGAAGUGGAAAACUAAUGGUGCAGACUUUAGCAUUUGGAUUUUGUCAUUUACAUAUCUGUAAGGGGAUGUCGAUGUAUGUGCAAAUAAGCAGAACUUUAUGUGUCCCGUGCUUUCUCUGCCGCCACCUUUGUCCUCCCCUUCCCCUCCCCAGUUUACAGAGGAAGUCAAAGAAGAAGUGUUGCCUCUCUCCCCUCAGCUAGAGAAGGUAAUGAGAUUCUGUGCACCCUCUAUUACGAGGAGGAUGAGAAAUCUGAUUAUUAAGGAGAGGCAUGUGGCAGUAAGAAAAAUCUGUUUGUUUUUUUCUUAUUGUAUCACCCCAAGAAACAAAGGUGACCCCCAUGUUCCAUUCAUUAAAUCUUGCCUCCUCUAAUUUAUCAAGGUAAACUAUCACAGUUUCUGCUGAGCUAAUCAGAAAUGGGGAAACUUGUUAGGUGUGCCUCAAAAGGACACAUCACAGGAUUUGGAUAUCACUUCACAUACUGAGUAGGGCCUAAUUCAUGCUUCCUAUUGCACAAUAUAUGUUUUAUGGACAUUAGCAUGAGCGCAUUGUGCAUUUUUUUUCCACACAGGAUACCUUAGGACAAUGAGAAUGAAUUAUGACCUCCAUAACAGAACAAGUGUAAUUAUUUCAAGGACACAGAGUUGCUGCAGGUGUGUCUUCUGAUGCAAAUAUCACAGAAAAUAUAAUUUUUUUGCGGUAUAUUGUGAGCCCACACUUAUUGUUAUUUAUGGUAAAAUUUCAAUACCCAGGGACUGCAAAAUUGAAUUUAGCCACGAGAGAGGGAGAGAGAGAGGGAUUCACAACAGAAUCGUUAUUACUGUUAGUGUUAAUAUUCGUCAAAUAUGUCAUUCUCAUGCGCUUAAAGAAUAAUUGUGUUAAUAUGCUACAAAUAAUGUGAACUAUGUUUGUAGAUUAAAAAAAUAUUGUCUGUGGUCCGUGCAUGAGACACGCAUGUAUCAAAACAGUGUGC
ensembl:lncRNA